UAAUAUAAAUAGUAUUGCCUUAUUUUAAAAGGAAAUUCUAUAACUAAGGAUAUGUAUUUUUAUGAGUGUUGAGGAAAACACAUCAACUUCUUAACAUUAGUUAUCUCAGGGAUCUGGAGUUGGUGAAGGGGAGAAAUACAGGGUAUUAAGUUUUUAAAAUACAUUCUCAAGUAAUUUGAGCAAUUGGUAAAGUAAAUCCAAUCACUAAAAAAAUUAAGCCUGGAGUUCCCGUCGUGGCUCAGUGGAAACGAAUCCAACUAGGAAUCAUGAGGUUGCGGGUUCCUAGUUGGCCUCGCUCAGUGGGUUAGUGGGUUAAGGAUCCAGCGUUGCUGCGAGCUGUGGUGUAGGUGCAGAUGGGUCUAAUCAGAGCUGUUGCUGCCAGCCUACACCAGAGCCACAGAACACGGGGUCCAAGUUGCAUCUGCAACCUACGCUACAGUUCACGGCGAUGCCGGAUCCUCACCCCACUGAGUGAAGCCAGGGAUCGAACCCGCAACCUCAUGGUUCCAAGUUAGGUUCAUUAACCACUGAUGAACCCAACUUGGAACCAUGAUGGGAACUCCUCCAUUGUUCUUUCUUAACUAGUAUUAUAACCUUAUAAAUUAGGAAGUGUUUCUCUAGUUCUUAGGAGGGAAACAGUGGCUCAGAGAGUUCAGUCACAUGGCCAGGGUCACAGUGCCAAUAAUUACAUCUCAUUCUAAUCCCCAUGAUAUUUCCACUUCAUCACAGGUUUAUGUGUUUAGAAUGCCAUUCCUCAGAUUAAGUACACUAAGCCUUCAUUUCUCAAACUGUGUGCUAAGGCACCCCAGAGUGCUGCAGCUAACUCACAAAGGCUUUUUAUUUUUUUUUUUUUUCAAGAAAAACUCAGUGAUAUUCAAACAUCUUUCAGACACUGUGUCAACUAGUAGUUCUGCAUAGUUCAUAGUUUCAAUAGUAGAUCACACUACACUUCUGAUGUCACAUCUUUGCAAAGCUAGUAUUUUUAUUUAAAUAUCAGCACCAGGUGUGUGGAAGGAGGAGGUUUAUGGGAACUCCCCGUAUUGCCUACCCAAUUUUGCUGUGAUCCUAUAACUUUAAAAAAUAAAGUCCACUACUGUUAUUCAUACUGAGAAUGACAUACAGCCUAUGAUAUAUCACUCCUUUUGCCUGUGCCAAACAAUUCAUCACUUAAUUUUGUUUGUUUAUAAUUGUUUUUUAUUAUUUAUAAUUUUUUCUCCUAAUCUGUACAAUAAAGCUCUUGAAGGAGUGAAUGUCCUAGGCUCUCGCAUGACAUAAAUUUGCUCUAAGUAUAGGAAAAUCUAGAUGGCUAUACACUUUACUGUUACUAAUGGUUGCUCUAGGGGAGUUCUUUUAUAUACAUUUUAAGUCAUCAGAUUAUAAAUAGGCUUUAUUCUGCUUUUUUUUUCUGCAUGAUUUUCAGCAUUUUCCAAAUAAGCAAUUUUUAAGAUAUUUUGAUUAAUAGAUACUGCUUAUGUGAAGAAUCCUUUCACCAUUUGCACAGAAAAAUGUGGAAACUAUUUCUGGAAUAAAGAUUUGGGAUGACUUCCUCAGAAUUGUUCUCAGAAAUCAAGCCACAUUUUAUUUAUCAACUUCUGUAUGCCAGGCACUGUGCUACUUUCACAUAUUAUUAUUUACUUCUCACAACUGUCUCAGGAGGCAUUUUUGUCUUGAACAUGAAGGAAAUGGAGGUUCAGUUCAGAAAUCUUGGAUUCUUGUUUGGUGACAUCAAAGAUUUAAAACCCAAACUCAGUCCAGUUACAGAAACCACACAGUAUAUGCUUCUAUUUAUAUGCAAUGUCCAGAACAGAGUCAAGGAAGUAUGUUUGUGAUUGUCUGGGGCUGUGUGUGUGUGUGUUUGUGUUUCUGUCAGAGGUGAGUGUGGUGGAGGAAUGAAUAGUAUCUGUUAAUGGGUUUGGAUUCCUGUAUCUAUGACACUACAAAGUUUGAUGAAUUGUUCACUACAAAAAGCUGAAUUUUACAAUAUAUAGAUUAUAUAAUUUAUUUUUUAUUAACGUGUAGUUGAUUUACAGUGUGCCAGUUUCCACUGUACAGUAUAGUGACCCAGUCAUAUAUAUAAGGAUAUAUAUACUUUUUUCCCUCAUACUAUAUUCCCUCAUGUUCUAUCACAAGCAAUGAAGUUAUUUAAAAGAAAAAAAUCAACAACAAACCCAAGAUCUCUAUUGUAUAAGCCUCAAGGGCAAUUUUAAUAGUCUAACAAACUUCAUGUUAUUUCUUUAUCCAAAGAAUUCAGAAAGAUUCCAGGAAAUGCUUAAAGGCAAUACAGUCUACCUAUAAGAAGUAUUUCUUGUGGGAUUAUCUAUUUCUCUUGGAAAAGGAUCAUGGCACAGCCUAAAAAUAUAAUGAGAAAUUGGAAUAUUUUGAGUGCAGAAAGGCCAGGCAAGAGGUGUCAAGUCAAUACAUCUUGCAUCUAGCACAGGACUAACAUGUAAUGCCCACUCAACAAAUAUUCAUGCCAUUGAAAGUAUAUUGGUGACAUUCAGUGAACAUGGUCUUUUCCCCAGAAGAAAAACCCUUUUAUAGAAAGCAUGGCUUGUUUUCCUGAGAUAGUCUGAAAGAGGCAUAUUACCUAUUUGUGUUUCUAACCCACUCAUUUCUGUUCCAGAUACAUUACUGGAAUCUUUUUUUGUCAUUAUUGUUUAAUUACCAUGGAACCUCUAAUCCAGGCCAGAAAUUCCUCACUGCCCACAUUUCUUUCUACUUCAGAAUGCGUAUCUAAUAGCAACCAAUUACUUUUCCUAUUUUCUCACUUGGAAUCUGUUUGGUGAGCUGGGAAUUGCUAUCUAACAAAAUCGGGAACAUCUGUGCUGAGGGGCAGCCUAGUGGGAAGAGUUAGCUGGCUAGACAGAUUUCCUGAAUGGUAAUAUUCUUUUCCCCUGCAGGGAUUGAUCUUGGGACAGUUACUUGUAAGGCCUCCUCUGACUUUUUGAAUAUCUCUCUAUCCCUUCCUUCCCAUCCUUUUUCUCCAAGUGGGAAAAAAAGAGUUUUGUGUUUAAGAGGUCAAGUGACUUAAAGGAACCAUUCCAGCCUUCUGAAAAGUUUCCGUUUCAAACACAUAAAAAAUACUUCCAAAGGAACAACCUCAACUCUUCUUUGCUUCCAGGCUUGGUGCCUGAACACUGUGCUUUUUCACAUUUGGCUCUAACAGAGCUGAUGCUGGAGCUUUAGAAGAUUAGAAACCACAUUAAUUCUUAUACUCAUCCUUAAACUACAUGGCUAUCAGUCUUCUAUCAUAUUCAGAAACACAAUUUUGUGCUUGGAAAAGAUAUCCUAGAUGGAAUGGUGUUGGAUGAUUUUAAGAAAACAGGAGAAAGGUAAUGAACUUUUAAACCUUUGAAAUGUAUUACAUUUUUUGUAGUCUUUUCAUUUAUAUAUAUAUAUACCUAUUUGUGUAUAUAUAUAUAUUCUGUGUUCUUUGUAUUACAUUUUUUGUAGUCUUUUCAUUUAUAUAUAUAUAUACCUAUUUGUGUAUAUAUAUAUAUUCUGUGUUCUUUGACUCAACUGGUACCUUGAUACAUCUACAAUUUUCAGAAAAGACAAGUUCAAGGGUGAGAAAGAUGGGGGAAAUUCAUUUUUUGAUAUUGAGCAGCCUCUCUGCUAUUUGGGCGGACAACAAAGGUAUCAUGAUCUGGUUUAGAGAGCUGCUGAUAAAUUAUUCAUACCUCUAAUGAUGACUCUGGAUCUUCUCAGGGAAUGAUGACUUUGUUUUCUCUGUAAAAGAUGAAACCACUUUUGUAGACAUUGCUAGCACACCUGCAUGCUUGAGGCAAUCAGGUGUGAUAUAUUCCUGACACACAUCCCUUUCCUCCCAUUUUCCAGGUUAUGAUUUUAAAAUAGAAACCUCUGGAUAUCUGGCCUUCUUUUGUAUGAUAGACAUAAUUUCUUAAAUGAAUUCACCAGGUUGAGGGAGAGGGAAGUCACUUAGCGUAAGCUACUUAUGAUUAAGGAUCUGACAUCUUUGCUCACAUUAAUAUCUAAAUUGCCAGCUGCAGGUGCACAUGCCUUUGAAACAGUAGAAAUGUUAGAAGUUUAGGUAAUAUUAAUGAGAAGACAAAGCUAUUGAGGUGAAACUUCAUGAAUAGUCUUCAUUGAGAGUUUACUCAGUGCUAAGUACAUGGGGGGCACAUUAUCUCAUUUAAUCCUUAUAACCAUCUUAUUUUGCUAGCAAGGAAACUGAGUCUAAAUAGGUUAGGUUUUGGAGUUCCCGUCGUGGCGCAGUGGUUAACGAAUCCGACUAGGAACCAUGAGGUUGCGGGUUGGGUCCCUGCCCUUGCUCAGUGGGUUGAUGAUCUGGCAUUGCCCUGAGCUGUGGUGUAAGUUGCAGACGCGGCUUGGAUCCCACGUUGCUGUGGCUCUGGCGUAGGCCGGAGGCUACAGCUCCAAUCUGACCCUUAGCCUGGGAACCUCCAUAUGC
rnacentral:lncRNA from 1 species